CUGUUUNCAAAAAUCUACGUGAUCUGAAUUCGACCGGACUCACCUGUUUACAAAACUUGNUNUUUGAUCUGGAUUAAGACGGGCGGCGCCUGUUGGAUUAAACUGUCUCCCCCCUUCGAUCACUGAAACUGAUCCCCCCGUGAAGAAGCGGGAAUAAACCUAUGANACGAGAAGACCCUGUGGAGCUUUAAACCUACACCACCCAUCUCAAAAUACACCAUAACAAACAGAUGGGCUUACGUACUAGUUUUAGGUUGGGGCGACCACGGAGUAAAACUAAACCUCCGCGAUGAAAAGACUUUACUUUCUAAUCCAAGAGCAACAUCUCUAAGAAUCAACAAACUGACAUAAUUGACCCAAACACUUUGAUCAACGAACCAAGUUACCCCAGGGAUAACAGCGCAAUCCAUUUCAAGAGCCCCUAUCGACAAAUGGGUUUACGACCUCGAUGUUGGAUCAGGGUAUCCCAGUGGUGCAACCGCUACUAAAGGUUCGUUUGUUCAACGAUUAAAACCCUACGUGAUCUGAGUUCAGACAGGAGAAGUNYSAR
rnacentral:rRNA from 1 species